CCUACGGGUGGCUGCAGUCGAGAAUCAUUCACAAUGGGGGAAACCCUGAUGGUGCGACGCCGCGUGGGGGAAUGAAGGUCUUCGGAUUGUAAACCCCUGUCAUGUGGGAGCAAAUUAAAAAGAUAGUACCACAAGAGGAAGAGACGGCUAACUCUGUGCCAGCAGCCGCGGUAAUACGGAGGUCUCAAGCGUGGUUCGGAUUCACUGGGCGUAAAGCGAGCGUAGGCUGUUUCGUAAGUCGUGUGUGAAAGGCCGGGGCUCAACCCGCGGACGGCACAUGAUACUGAGAGACUAGAGGAAUGGAGGGGGAACCGGAAUUCUCGGUGUAGCAGUGGAAUGCGUAGAUAUCGAGAGGAACACUCGUGGCGAAGGCGGGUUCCUGGACAUUAACUGACGCUGAGGCACGAAGGCCAGGGGAGCGAAAGGGAUUAGAUACCCCUGUAGUC
rnacentral:rRNA from 1 species